rnacentral:rRNA from 1 species
UCGGAUUGAAGCCUUGGUGACUGAGCGGCGGACGGGUGAGUAACGCGUGGGUAACCUGCCUCAUACAGGGGGAUAACAGUUGGAAACGGCUGCUAAUACCGCAUAAGCGCACAGUACCGCAUGGUACGGUGUGAAAAACUCCGGUGGUAUGAGAUGGACCCGCGUCUGAUUAGGUAGUUGGUGGGGUAACGGCCUACCAAGCCGACGAUCAGUAGCCGACCUGAGAGGGUGACCGGCCACAUUGGGACUGAGACACGGCCCAAACUCCUACGGGAGGCAGCAGUGGGGAAUAUUGCACAAUGGGGGAAACCCUGAUGCAGCGACGCCGCGUGAGCGAUGAAGUAUUUCGGUAUGUAAAGCUCUAUCAGCAGGGAAGAAAAUGACGGUGCCUGACUAAGAAGCCCCGGCUAACUACGUGCCAGCAGCCGCGGUAAUACGUAGGGGGCAAGCGUUAUCCGGAUUUACUGGGUGUAAAGGGAGCGUAGACGGCAUGGCAAGCCAGAUGUGAAAGCCCGGGGCUCAACCCCGGGACUGCAUUUGGAACUGUCAGGCUAGAGUGUCGGAGAGGAAAGCGGAAUUCCUAGUGUAGCGGUGAAAUGCGUAGAUAUUAGGAGGAACACCAGUGGCGAAGGCGGCUUUCUGGACGAUGAC